rnacentral:rRNA from 2 species
GGGUGCGAUCAUACCAGCACUAAUGCACCGGAUCCCAUCAGAACUCCGCAGUUAAGCGUGCUUGGGCGAGAGUAGUACUAGGAUGGGUGACCUCCUGGGAAGUCCUCGUGUUGCACCCCUUU